rnacentral:rRNA from 1 species
AGCAACCUGCCUUUCACAGGGGGAUAACGCAUCGAAAGAUGCGCUAAUACCGCAUGAGACCACAGCGCCACAUGGCAUAGGGGUCAAAGGAGCAAUCCGGUGAGAGAUGGGCUCGCGUCUGAUUAGCUAGUUGGUGAGGUAACGGCCACCAAGGCGACGAUCAGUAGCCGACCUGAGAGGGUGAUCGGCCACAUUGGAACUGAGAGACGGUCCAA